CCAAUAUCUUCAGAUGAUAUAGAAUGAAGAGGAAAAGUUUGUACUGUAAAGAACACUUUAGGAAAAAUAGGUCAUACGGUUAGGAUUUGACAAGGAGCAAGAACAGUGUACCCUUGAUUCCAAGUUCAUCAGAACUACAGAUUCGGUUGCCCCUUUAGCAUGAUCAGGUGGUUCUACAACUAAAACGAAUGCAACAUACUCAACUCUUGAUGAUGCAAGAAACAACGCGCGGCGAGGGUGAGGAGGACGGCUAACAACAUUGACGACCACCUCGGCUUCCCCAAGGAGGACUCCAUCGCCUCCGUGCUCUUUCUGGACAAGCUAGCGCCGGCGAGCCCACUGUC
rnacentral:lncRNA from 7 species